UCCCUGGUGGCUCAGUUAGUAAAGCGUCUGCCUGCAACGUAGGAGACCCGGGCUUGAUCCCUGGGUUGGGAA
rnacentral:tRNA from 1 species